CUUAGUGGGAGCCAUUAUAAAUGGAUCUGGAGAGGUAAACUGCCUCUCAAGAUUAAGAUCUUUCUUUGGCAAGUUUCACAGGAUGCUGUGCUUACCAAACAAGUGAUGCGUAGAAAAAAAUGGCCAGGCAAUCCCAGUUGCUCUUUUUGCAAGGAUGUUGAGAGCUCUCAGCAUCUGUUCUUUACUUGCCCCGUUGCUAAGUGUGUAUGGCGCUCCAUUGGGGUGACCUUGGGGACUGAUUAUUGA
rnacentral:rRNA from 1 species